GAUGAACGCUGGCGGCGUGCUUAACACAUGCAAGUCGAACGAUGAAGGCGGGAGCUUGCUCCUGCUGGAUUAGUGGCGAACGGGUGAGUAACACGUGAGUAACCUGCCCUUGACUCUGGGAUAAGCGUUGGAAACGACGUCUAAUACCGGAUACGACCUUCGGAGGCAUCUCCUGGGGGUGGAAAGAAUUUCGGUCAAGGAUGGACUCGCGGCCUAUCAGCUAGUUGGUGAGGUAAUGGCUCACCAAGGCGACGACGGGUAGCCGGCCUGAGAGGGUGACCGGCCACACUGGGACUGAGACACGGCCCAGACUCCUACGGGAGGCAGCAGUGGGGAAUAUUGCACAAUGGGCGGCAAGCCUGAUGCAGCAACGCCGCGUGAGGGGACGACGGCCUUCGGUUGUAAACCUACUUUAGUUAGGGAAGAAGCGGAAAGU
rnacentral:rRNA from 1 species